CCGAAAUCAGAAGACACCCAAACCCUCCUCUCUCUAGAAAUCCCUCCCCCUCUCUCUAAAAUCACUCUCUGCUAAAAUUUCCCCAAAAUGUGAAUCUCAAUCGGUUUCUAUUUCUUGCCCAAUAACGAUUUCGCUGCUUAAUGGAGGAGAUAACAAGCUUCAUCCAUCCUAACCAUUCAUAGAAUUACUUAACCAUUCAUAUAACAGAUCGACGCUUGACAGGUUUUUUCCCCCUCCUCUGAAUACAAAAAACACCUGCACAGAAAGACUCAUUUGAGGCCUAUUUGGUGUUGUUGAUUUUCAGUCUUGACAGAACUCGACUAUCUUAGUUUGGGUUGUAAGUGAGAGGAACAAACGAAACAGAGAAAAGCAAAUAACUAAGCAUACUUGUGGUACAAGGUCUUUUGUAGAAGUAGAGGAAUCUACGAUAAAUCCCCUAUUACUGGAGAAAUAGACACACCAAAUAAAGUUUGGGAGAUCCAACAUACACGCAAGGAUGAUAGAGGAGAACUGGUGUGGGUGGAUUCACAAUCCCAACAAAUUCAUGGUCAACUCCAAGAAGUUGUCGCUCAACAACAAUCUGAAGAGAUCGAGCAUCCAAUGACUAGAGAUGAGAUUUUAUCCACCGUUCUUGGUGAGAGAACAUGCUAUGUUCGCGGAAAAGGAUACAGAAAGAAGCCUCCUAAAAAGAGUAACAUGCAGCAGGCAAAUAUAGAGUCCAGCGUGUCUUCCGCUAUGGAAAUUAUGCGUCAGGAGAUGCAAGCCGAGAUGGAUAGGAAGUUACAAAGAUGAACGUGAACAAAUGGCUGCUCAGUUGCAAAGAAAUAUGGAACUUGAGUUGCAAAGGAAGUUGGAAGAGGAGCGUGAACACGCAAAAACAUAAGUAGACAAGAGGAUCCAUCUAGAAGUGGACAAGAGGAUGCAUGAACAAUUUGCUAGUUUGAUGACCAGAAUGCUACAACAGGUACUUGCUCCGCUGCUUCUUAACACUUCUUCUUCCUUCUCAGCAUUUCUUCUUCCUUCUUUCUGGACAAUUCUUUUGUUUCUUCUUUCCUUCUCCGCUGCUUCUUGACACUUCAUGCUACAACUAGAAUUUUUUUACUGUUGCUGCUGCUGUGUGGAAUCUGAAUUUUUGCAAUAUAAAAUCUGAACUAGUUGUGUGGUAACAGACUGCUGCUGUUGUUUUUUGCUGCUGCUGCUGUGUGGAAUCUGAAUUUUUGCAAUAUGAAAUCUGAACUAGUUGUGUGGUAAUAGACUGUUGCUGCUGUUUUUUGCUGCGGCUGCUGCUACUGCUGUGUGGAAUCUGAAUUUUUGCAAUAUGAAAUCUGAACUAGUUGUGUGGUAAUCUUACUAGGACAAUAUUUUUGUAAUAUGAAAUCUGAUAAUAGUUGGACUUAAUAAAAACAGUAUUACCGAACUUUCUUUUGAAGUCAUUAUAUGAAAUUUGAUAAUAGUUGGACUUAAUGAAAGCAAUAUAGUUGACUGGAGACAAGUAUCGUGGUAAGGUGGAAUAGUUGUGGGUUCUGUGCUUUGCUUGCUGCUGAAGUUUGCUUUUUUGAGCCAAAUUCUUGUAUGUAGCAAUCUGCAUGUUCAGAUUUGGUUCUUAGAGAUUUGAUGUAAUCUUGCACUAACUGUGGGAUCCUAAUUGGGCUCAUUUAUGCUUAACUUGCUUCAAUGGCCAAUUUGGUUCAUUUAUUCAAUUCUCUUUGUUCUUUAAUGUUUUGACCUGUUCUUCUAGUGAUAUACUUGAAUUUAUUUGAUUUUAUAGGUUUGUUUCAGUAGUCCAUUAAUAUAAAAUAAAGAGUCUAUUCCAGUGUUUCAAUAAUGCAAAAGUUGUUUAUUCUAACUUCUUUGUAUUUGAUAUGUUUGGUUGAAAGUUUGAGUAGUCUGUUUAUAUAAAAGGAAGAUUUGAUUUUAUUCUAGUGCUUCAAUAAUGCAAAAGUUAGUUGUUCAUUCUACCUCAUUAUUAUUUAUUAUGGGCAUGCAGCGUGUAAGAAUUUCAACACUCAUUUAUUUAAAAUAAUGUCCGUUUUGUUUUA